rnacentral:rRNA from 1 species
AAAAGAACCCCGGCGAGGGGAGUGAAAAAGAACCUGAAACCGUGUACGUACAAGCAGUGGGAGCACAGAGCAAUCUGUGUGACUGCGUACCUUUUGUAUAAUGGGUCAGCGACUUAUAUUCUGUAGCAAGGUUAACCGAAUAGGGGAGCCGAAGGGAAACCGAGUCUUAACUGGGCGUUAAGUUGCAGGGUAUAGACCCGAAACCCGGUGAUCUAGCCAUGGGCAGGUUGAAGGUUGGGUAACACUAACUGGAGGACCGAACCGACUAAUGUUGAAAAAUUAGCGGAUGACUUGUGGCUGGGGGUGAAAGGCCAAUCAAACCGGGAGAUAGCUGGUUCUCCCCGAAAGCUAUUUAGGUAGCGCCUCGUGAAUUCAUCUCCGGGGGUAGAGCACUGUUUCGGCAAGGGGGUCAUCCCGACUUACCAACCCGAUGCAAACUGCGAAUACCGGAGAAUGUUAUCACGGGAGACACACGGCGGGUGCUAACGUCCGUCGUGAAGAGGGAAACAACCCAGACCGCCAGCUAAGGUCCCAAAGUCAUGGUUAAGUGGGAAACGAUGUGGGAAGGCCCAGACAGCCAGGAUGUUGGCUUAGAAGCAGCCAUCAUUUAAAGAAAGCGUAAUAGCUCACUGGUCGAGUCGGCCUGCGCGGAAGAUGUAACGGGGCUAAACCAUGCACCGAAGCUGCGGCAGCGACGCUUAUGCGUUGUUGGGUAGGGGAGCGUUCUGUAAGCCUGCGAAGGUGUGCUGUGAGGCAUGCUGGAGGUAUCAGAAGUGCGAAUGCUGACAUAAGUAACGAUAAAGCGGGUGAAAAGCCCGCUCGCCGGAAGACCAAGGGUUCCUGUCCAACGUUAAUCGGGGCAGGGUGAGUCGACCCCUAAGGCGAGGCCGAAAGGCGUAGUCGAUGGGAAACAGGUUAAUAUUCCUGUACUUGGUGUUACUGCGAAGGGGGGACGGAGAAGGCUAUGUUGGCCGGGCGACGGUUGUCCCGGUUUAAGCGUGUAGGCUGGUUUUCCAGGCAAAUCCGGAAAAUCAAGGCUGAGGCGUGAUGACGAGGCACUACGGUGCUGAAGCAACAAAUGCCCUGCUUCCAGGAAAAGCCUCUAAGCAUCAGGUAACAUCAAAUCGUACCCCAAACCGACACAGGUGGUCAGGUAGAGAAUACCAAGGCGCUUGAGAGAACUCGGGUGAAGGAACUAGGCAAAAUGGUGCCGUAACUUCGGGAGAAGGCACGCUGAUAUGUAGGUGAAGCGACUUGCUCGUGGAGCUGAAAUCAGUCGAAGAUACCAGCUGGCUGCAACUGUUUAUUAAAAACACAGCACUGUGCAAACACGAAAGUGGACGUAUACGGUGUGACGCCUGCCCGGUGCCGGAAGGUUAAUUGAUGGGGUCAGCGCAAGCGAAGCUCUUGAUCGAAGCCCCGGUAAACGGCGGCCGUAACUAUAACGGUCCUAAGGUAGCGAAAUUCCUUGUCGGGUAAGUUCCGACCUGCACGAAUGGCGUAAUGAUGGCCAGGCUGUCUCCACCCGAGACUCAGUGAAAUUGAACUCGCUGUGAAGAUGCAGUGUACCCGCGGCAAGACGGAAAGACCCCGUGAACCUUUACUAUAGCUUGACACUGAACAUUGAGCCUUGAUGUGUAGGAUAGGUGGGAGGCUUUGAAGUGUGGACGCCAGUCUGCAUGGAGCCGACCUUGAAAUACCACCCUUUAAUGUUUGAUGUUCUAACGUGGACCCGUAAUCCGGGUUGCGGACAGUGUCUGGUGGGUAGUUUGACUGGGGCGGUCUCCUCCUAAAGAGUAACGGAGGAGCACGAAGGUUGGCUAAUCCUGGUCGGACAUCAGGAGGUUAGUGCAAUGGCAUAAGCCAGCUUGACUGCGAGCGUGACGGCGCGAGCAGGUGCGAAAGCAGGUCAUAGUGAUCCGGUGGUUCUGAAUGGAAGGGCCAUCGCUCAACGGAUAAAAGGUACUCCGGGGAUAACAGGCUGAUACCGCCCAAGAGUUCAUAUCGACGGCGGUGUUUGGCACCUCGAUGUCGGCUCAUCACAUCCUGGGGCUGAAGUAGGUCCCAAGGGUAUGGCUGUUCGCCAUUUAAAGUGGUACGCGAGCUGGGUUUAGAACGUCGUGAGACAGUUCGGUCCCUAUCUGCCGUGGGCGCUGGAGAACUGAGGGGGGCUGCUCCUAGUACGAGAGGACCGGAGUGGACGCAUCACUGGUGUUCGGGUUGUCAUGCCAAUGGCACUGCCCGGUAGCUAAAUGCGGAAGAGAUAAGUGCUGAAAGCAUCUAAGCACGAAACUUGCCCCGAGAUGAGUUCUCCCUGACUCCUUGAGAGUCCUGAAGGAACGUUGAAGACGACGACGUUGAUAGGCCGGGUGUGUAAGCGCAGCGAUGCGUUGAGCUAACCGGUACUAAUGAACCGUGAGGCUUAACCUU